rnacentral:lncRNA from 1 species
UUUUGAAACAAAAUCAAGUGGGGGUAGGGAGAGUUGAAGAAGGAAGACGCAUGAUAAGGGAUAGAUUACAACAUAAAAAGGUGUUGAUUGUCCUUGAUGAUGUCAACGAGCUUGAGCAGCUAGAAGAGUUAGCUGGAUCACAUGAUUGGUUCGGUGAAGGAAGCCGGAUAUUAAUCACCACUAGAGAUGAACAUAUAUUAACUGGACACAAAGUAGAUGUGAUACACAAUAUUAGCUUGUUAAACGAUGAUGAGGCUAUGAAGCUCUUUUGUAAGCAUGCACCCCAGGGUUAUAGACGUAUAAAAGAUUAUGAGCAGCUUUCAAAAGAUGUGGUUUCAUAUGCUUGUGGGCUCCCAUUAGCACUUAGAGUUCUCGGUCGUUUUCUAUGUGACAAAGAGACAAAUGAGUGGAGGAGUGCUUUGGCUAGAUUGAAAGAAAUCCCAGAGACUGAUAUUUUGGAAAAGCUAAAACUCAGCUUUGAUGUACUUACGCACCUAGAGAGAGAGUUGUUCUUGGACAUUGCAUGUUUCUUCAGAGGGGUGUAUAAAGAUGAACGUAUAAUGAUGAAGCUUGAUGCUCGUGGCUUUCACCCUGUUAUAGGCAUAAAGGUGUUGAUACAAAAGGCCCUAAUAACAAUUUCAGAUGGAAGGUUUGAUAUGCAUGAUCUGGUGCAAGAAAUGGGACACUACAUUGUUAGAGGGAAACACCCGAAGAAUCCUGAAAAACAUAGUAGAGUGUGGAAGGUGGAGGAUGUUCUAAAAAUAUGUGCUAUGGAUGCAACAACGGUAAUCGUUAAACUAGUUAUUCAUGAUAUAUAUGUAUAAUUAACCACUGAACUUGAUCCUGAAACCAUUUUGUUCAUCUAUUCCAGAACCUUGACAAGAUCGAAGCUAUAAAUCUUUUGUAUUUAAGGAGUGACGAAUCACAUGUUUAUCAUAUCGUUGCAAACAUGAAGAAACUUCGGUCGAUUAGUUUGGAAUACUAUGAAGCAUUGUUUGAGACUCCACUAUUAAUUAUAAUGCCAGGAAAUUUUCCACCAAGGGAGCUUUGUUGUCUAACACUGAGGUUUCUCAAUGCAAAACAACUUUGGGAGGGUUACAAGGUAAUUCUUAUUAUUUAAUGGAUGAAAGCAAAGUGAAUGACUAAAAUUUUAAUGUCUAUCUAAUGUGUCUGUCUGUCUAAGAAGCAAAUGUGUCUAUAAAUGGCUGAUUUUAAUGUAUCUCAGUAAUCAUAAAAUGAUAAGUUCUUAUUAGGACGAAUAUAUGAUUUAUUAAAUGUUAUUAGCUUUUGCUUAUUUUUAUGAAGUGACUAUUAAUAAUUUUAUUAGAAAGUUGGUGUUAAUGUUAUAUACAUAUGAUAGUUGGGAAGAUUACUUAUACAUCGCAUUAUCCAACACUUGUCGGACAUGCAGUAUGCAACCGACUCAUUUAUAAAACCUUUAUUAAAUAUACAAUGCAAGCUCUCAACUAUAAACAUAUAAUUUCAUAUCUCCUUUGAGGUCCAAAACUAGGUCAGGAUCAACAAGACCGAAAAAAUACAACCAGGACCUAACAAACUAAACUGGACGCAUAUGCAACUAUGUUUGGUCGGGUUUUGCUUCUUGAUUUUGCUUAUGUACUUAUUUAAAGGUGGUAGUUUGUUUUGUUUUCAGUAUUUAUUUUUGCCAAUAUCGAUUCAUAAUCUAGUCCAUUCCGGUUGACAACUGGACCCAUGUUUUUUAAACUUUAAAACAUUAAAGUUGAAACCGAAUCUGUUUAAAUUAUUUUAUUUUUCGAUUUUAUUGUUCUAAUUUUUUUUCAUUUCACUUUUUUUUUUUAUAUUCGUUUAAUUAAAGCUGAAACCGAAAAUAUACAUAUACCUAUAUUCCAUGAACCGUUGGCAAAGUUUUGAGUUAUGUGCACUUGUGUACACAGUAUCUACCAAAUUUGAGGAUGAUCAAUCUUGAACACUUGCGGAACCUAAUCAAGACACCUGAUUUUAAUGGGCUUCCGAACCUUGAAAGAUUGAUGGUUUAUGAUUCUCCGCUUUUAGAAGAGAUUCAUCCAUCAUUUGGACAGUCGGAAAACCUUGUUUGUGUAGAGAUACGGAGUUGCGACAAUCUUCAGAUGCUUCCUCCCAUUACCCAGAUGAAGCAUCUGGAGACUCUUGUACUCUCAGGAUGCAGUACAGUUAAUAAUCUUUCAAAGAUCCAACAAAAUAUGGAGAAGUUUGUACCUCAAAACAUGAACUACAUAGGGCUAUGGUUUUCUAGUGAAUGCUUAAGAAAGCUGGAUCUCAGGUGGUUCAAAUUGGCAGAUGGAGUCAUCGGAUCUCCUGCUGUUUGGGAGUUACCCAACUUGCAAGAACUCAAUCUAACAGGAAAUAGUUUUGUACGUUUGAAUUUUAGUCUCUUGCGAGUUCCUCAACUCCAAUAUCUCAACAUAUCACAAUGCUAUAACCUUGUAGAAUUGUCGGAUCUUCCAUCAAGUAUAGCUGUUGUUAUAGCGGAUGGUUGUAGGUCACUUGAAACCCUUGGAGACAUUUCAAACUGCAAAUGCUUGUGGAAAGUCUCACUUUCAGAGGAGAACAACCUUGGUCCACAUUUUGGUGACAUGUUACUAGACUCCAUGCUCCAGGUUUGUCUUUUAAUUUGAGUUUCAUUCUCUAUGUAUAUAAACCCUAACAUAAGAAGAAUAACAUUAAUCAUAAACAAAUGUGUACUGUGGCAGGGAAACGCCAAACACUACUUUAUCAAUAUCACUAUUUCAGACAUUGACAUUUGGAUGGGGUUACCUGUAGUUUGGGUCGACUGGGUGAAGACUUAUAAUAUGUUCCUUCCACAUGAUUGGUACAAUCACUUUUCUGGGAUUUUGAUGUUCGUCAAAUCUGAAGCCAUCUAUAUGGAAAUUAAUAUAAGUAUGAAGCAUGGCUUAGAAGAAGAUUUUCAAUCUCAGCUUUCAAAGGAGUCUAAUGAAAGGCCUGAUGCUCAUUCUCGAGAGACAUGUGUAGGAUAUGUUUCAUUUCGUUCAUUGAGGCACUCCGGAUGCUUGGAUUCAACAUACAAUACCAUUUCGUUUUCCUUAUGCAAUGAGUAUUUGUAUGGAUAUGGGUGUCGGUUUAGGGCUAUACUCGUUCCUAAAGAUGAUCCAAUGCAAACAGCAGAUUCAUCAGAAUUUUGGGAUGCGGAGGAAGUUUAUGAAAGAAGGGUAUUUACCAUCCAACAUGAUGCAAACUCCUCUAUCGAGAUUUUAUGGAGACCUGUCUGCCAUUUGUAAACCCAUUCCCACAUGUCUCUUGCCUAGUCACCAGUUCCUCAUUACCACUCUCAACUUUUUAUUUUGCAUUAGGGCAUCUACAAUGCAUUGAACUCCAUAGAGUUGAAUGGAUUGCUACAUCAUUUUUCUACAUUUCAUACAAGUCAAUCAAUUUUUUCUUACAAUGCAUUGAACUCUACAAAGUUUAAUAGAAAGUUACAAAAGGUAUANNNNNNNNNNNNNNNNNNNNNNNNNNNNNNNNGAACCCACGGGUGCUAUUUCUAAAUUGAAUUUAAAAAUUAAUUAUUUAAUAAAAUAAUAUUUCAAUAAUUCUUAUAACUUAUAAAUUGUAAUAUUGAAUAUUUCAAUAAAUUUUUUAAUUUGUAAGUAUUUAAUUACAAAGUAAAUGAGAAGUAUUUAAUUCGGAAUGAAGAUUUUUGAAAACUCUUUUUUUUUAUGCAUGAUUCUUGUUGGACAUAUGCAGAUGAUGCAUUACCAAUGUGUGUAAUGAAAUUAACAUAAAAUACAACAAUAUGUAAUUAUAAAAAAAUACAGUAAUAUGAUGGAUUAAGUGUGAUUUGCUAAAAUUGAAUAAAACGACGUUACAAAAAAGUUGGCUACAAAUUUCGAAAAACUUCCUUAUAAACAACAUUGGAAGUUUUAUUUGUGAGUUUGCCAUCUUUAUCUAAAAUUAAUAAUUUUAAUCCCUCUCUGCUCUGAACUCUAGAUAAGGCAACAUACAAUUGUCCAUGUGAAAAAACUGGAUCUUUCAGAAACAAACCAACCUUUGAUAACGAUUGUCCUUGACUUUUAUUAAUAGUCAUUGCAAAACAUACGGCCAAAGGAAACUGUCUUCUUGUGAAUUUGAAGGGAAUCUUUUUUUCUGAUGGAGUUGAAGACAUUCUUGGAAUAAAAGUCUGAUUUCCAAUAUUAGUUCCAGUUAUUAUACGUGCCUCAAUAACAUGUUUGUCCAAUGAUAACACCUGUAGUCUUGUGCCAUUACAUAAGCCGUUUUUCUGAUCAAUAUUUCUCAGUAACAUUACUGGAACACCAAUUUUUAAAACUAACUUAUGAUUUGGUAAACCGGAUACUUUGAGACCAUUUAAUACAUCAGGAGAGUAUAGAUUUGCAUCAAAUUGAUCAUGGAGAAAUUCGGAUUCACAUAUGCUGUCUGAACUUAAAUAUUCAACUUCAUCUCCUGGAAACUUCUUAAGCAAACGGUCGUUUAUUUCCUGGACAACUUCAUUUUUCGGAGCAAGUAUCGCUCUUUCUUGGAAAUAAUUUAUAUCGCUAUAGUUCUCUAAAAUUGAAGGAUAUACAAACUCAAUUAAGGAACCUAUGGGAUCAUGUGAAUCGUUAAUGAGAAUAUCAUCCGAAAUAUCGAUAAUCGUUUCACCGUCGUUCGGACCACCAAGUUUUCCUUCUCCUAUAUCCAACAACCAAUUUGCAAAAUCUCUUAUUUUUCCUAUAUCUGAUUGAUCCCUUCCAACAGUUAGCCUCAUGUUUUUUGUUAAUCUAUGGACUUUGCAAUGUUCCCAUAAAUAUGAAGAACUCAAAGAAGCAUUUACAAUGUUCUGUCUACUGCCACCCGGAACAACAAGUAGAAUCUGUCUAAAAUCUCCUCCAAAGACAAUAACUUUCCCUCCAAAUGGAAUAUUUGAGAUUGUUGAAUUUACGCACCUUAGUAAAUCCUUAAAAGUUCGAUCUAAAGCUUCAAAUGCAUGCUUAUGGACCAUAGGUGCUUCAUCCCAAAUUAUUAAAGAGGUUUUUCUUAUUAAGCUUGCCAACUCACCGUCUGGAUUUAUGUUACAAAAAGAAUCCUCUGUAAGCUCAAAUGGAAUUAUAAAUCGAGAGUGUGCUGUUCUACCACCAGGCAAUAAUAAGGAAGCAAUACCGCUUGAAGCAACAUUUAAUACAAUAUUUCCUUCAGAUCUAAUUGCUGCAGAUAUUGUUUUCCAUAAAAAAGUUUUACCCGUUCCACCAUAACCGUAAACAAAGAAGACACCUCCUUUAUUUUCUUGAAUAGCACUCAUGAUGUUUAGGAAAAUAUUACGUUGCUCAUUUGUUAAUGCAAGAAACAUACGAUCAUAGUCAUUCUUUAUCACGGGAACGUCGUAAUCUAGCUCCUCGGUGAUAAGCCGAUUGUUUGAAGAAGAAACGGAUUCAACAUCUGGGUAUGGCAUGUUUUUGAAGUUUUUGAGUGUAGAGUUGUUUCGAAGUAAAAUUUGUUGUAUUUCGAACAAAGUUAAGUUCUUAAGUUCAUCUACUCCGAGUGACAAUUCUGCACGAAAAUAUUAAAUAAUUAAUAAAAUUUGUCGUCGAUAUUUAAUAAUUUUAUUAAUAAUGAUUUAAUGGUUGUUGAAUAAUAAAAAUAAAUUAAUUUAAAAAAAAUAAGAAAAAAUGUUAUACCUGCAGACUUAAAUCUUUGUCGUUGUCUAUAUAGAAUUCCAUCUGCCAAAUAUUCUCAUGUAUUUUCCCAAACGACCUCUGGUUUUGACAUACUAUUACACAUCAACAAUGUAGCAAAUAAAAAGCGUAGAUAAAAACCAGAUCCAGAAUGACUUGCUUCUUUAAUUGCAUCAAUGUAUUCCUUGUCAUCAUCUAAUAGCCCGAGUGCAUAACAAGCAUCUCUAAAAGAAGAAUGUGUUUGACCAUUUACCGUGCGAAUAUCAUCAAAUGAUGUUGGUCCUUUUACUUUAUUUAAAAGAAUCCUUAAGAAAUAUGCCUCACCUAGUUUAGGUGAAACAGAAUGAAUUCUACCGAUGGCUUUUCCUACUUUCCUUCGCUUCCAAAACCGACCAUUUAAUAUCCAAACAAACUUUGUAGGGAAUUCAACAUAUGUGAGUUUUCGUGCUUCACUGUCGAUUGCAUUACAUUCCAUCCAAGCUGUGAACUUUGAAGCCGCAACAGAAGGUUUGUCAAGAACAUCAUCAAUAUCAUCGUCUUCACCAUAUACAAUCUGUUGUUGAUUAGGAAGAUGAAAAGGCAGUCUGACAACAGAAGGAUAUCUGCAAUGAACAUCAUAUGUAAAAAUUCGCCAUGAUGCUUCACAUGCUGAUAAAUAUCUACAAUCGUAAUAUUCAGCUAUUUCAUUGACCGCAUCAUUAUUUUCACAUUCAUUGUUGGUUGGUACAACAGCAACUGUAGCUCUAUCAGGACCCUUAUUUAUGUAUUUAAACAAAUACUUUAUAGAAGAUCCCUGAUUGCACCAUUCAAUAUUAAUAUGUGUCUGAUAUCUUUUCAAUAGAUAUUUGUUGUAUGGAACAACAUUUCUAUUAUCCAACCUUACACCUGAUUUUUCUACAAAAUGACCAUCGUUUCUUCGCCUAUAUAACGGAAAACCAUUCUGAUCUACAGACGAAUGAUUACUGAAUUGUUUUGGAAAGUUUUUAGAGCACUUUUUAUCCACCAUGCAUGGACAAUUCAUAUUUUCAGCUCCACAUGGACCAUGAACCAUAAACUCAUUUACAAGUGAAUACAAUUCAGGAUCUUCGAUUCUGUCUGGUAUCUCUGCUGAAAUUAUCGGAUCGAUAAGUUCAACAGUUGGUAGCUUGUUGUCAGAAUGCAUGAAUAGACAUAUAUGACUAUGCGGCAAACCUCUUUUUUGGAAUUCAAUUGUAUAAACAUCUGUAAAAGAAUUUGCCAAAAAAAAGUAAAAUGUGAUUAGAUAUUAAAACAUAUUUAAAAUAUAAUAAUAAGAUCAAUGUUUUAUAAAAAAUUUAAAAAUAUUGUUUUAAUUACAUGCUUGAACUUUGCCGAAAAUUUGAUUAUCCCUUAAGUCUUUAAUGAAUGCAUCAAGCUUGAUCUUGAACAACCUACAUAGUAUAUCAGGCCUGUCUUCUGGUUGAAGUGAAGUAUCCUUAAGAAACCUUUUAAUCUCAGGCCAUUUGGGAUUACACGUAAAGGUUAUGAAGAAAUCAGGAUAUCCAAACCAUUUGCAUAGUGACAUGGCAUCCAAAUAGUUUUGCAGCAUAUAACGUGCACCUCCGGUAAAGGAUGAAGGUAAUAUGACACGUUGGCCGACAUUCGAGAUAUCAGUCGUUCCUUGAGCUUUUUGGUUACGUAAAUUUUCAUAAGAAUCACAUCUAAGAACAUGUUGUUGCCUACGUAUGUAGUACAUUCUCUCCGUUUCCAUCAUAGUGUAGGCAUCUACCAGAAAUUGUUGAAACAACCUUCUUGAAUUAAGUAUGAGAGAAAACGAAUGAUCUCUGUCUUGAAUCCUAUAAGCGAAAUAUUCUCUCAUUGUACAUUUCGCACGCUUGCUGUUGUUCGUAAAUGACACACCUCUAUGAAGAAUGUCAACACUAUAACCAUCAUCCCCAUAUGGAAAUAGCAAUGGAUAUUGGAGAGGAAGAUACGAAGGAUGCAAUUCACUGAUACGUUGUAGACAACCAUUUUUUGUUUGAACGACGAUAUCCCUCUUCUCGAUUGAAUCCGAAAUGUCACCAAUUAUUAAAGCAGCAACCUCAGAAGCAGUCGGUAGGUUAUAUGUUCUUCCAUCUUGCUCCCUUCUCCCGAUAAGUCGUAAUUUCAUAUCAACUUCUGGAUUUUUCUGAAAAGUAUCUCUUACCAUCCUAUAAGAUCUAACCAACACAUUAUUUGAAUCCAACAUCACCUUAAUAUCUUCAAUAAUAUCACUAUCAGUUGAUGUUGAUUGAUCCUUUUCACCACUAAAACAAAUAUAUUUAUAAAUAAUAUUAGUAAUAUAUAUAUAUAUAUAUAUAUAUAUAUAUAUAUAUAUAUAUGUUCAUUAUAUGAUAACUAGGCUCAUGCGUGUGUACAAGUCUCCANNNNNNNNNNNNNNNNNNNNNNNNNNNNNNNNNNNNNNNNNNNNNNNNNNNNNNNNNNNNNNNNNNNNNNNNNNNNNNNNNNNNNNNNNNNNNNNNNNNNNNNNNNNNNNNNNNNNNNNNNNNNNNNNNNNNNNNNNNNNNNNNNNNNNNNNNNNNNNNNNNNNNNNNNNNNNNNNNNNNNNNNNNNNNNNNNNNNNNNNNNNNNNNNNNNNNNNNNNNNNNNNNNNNNNNNNNNNNNNNNNNNNNNNNNNNNNNNNNNNNNNNNNNNNNNNNNNNNNNNNNNNNNNNNNNNNNNNNNNNNNNNNNNNNNNNNNNNNNNNNNNNNNNNNNNNNNNNNNNNNNNNNNNNNNNNNNNNNNNNNNNNNNNNNNNNNNNNNNNNNNNNNNNNNNNNNNNNNNNNNNNNNNNNNNNNNNNNNNNNNNNNNNNNNNNNNNNNNNNNNNNNNNNNNNNNNNNNNNNNNNNNNNNNNNNNNNNNNNNNNNNNNNNNNNNNNNNNNNNNNNNNNNNNNNNNNNNNNNNNNNNNNNNNNNNNNNNNNNNNNNNNNNNNNNNNNNNNNNNNNNNNNNNNNNNNNNNNNNNNNNNNNNNNNNNNNNNNNNNNNNNNNNNNNNNNNNNNNNNNNNNNNNNNNNNNNNNNNNNNNNNNNNNNNNNNNNNNNNNNNNNNNNNNNNNNNNNNNNNNNNNNNNNNNNNNNNNNNNNNNNNNNNNNNNNNNNNNNNNNNNNNNNNNNNNNNNNNNNNNNNNNNNNNNNNNNNNNNNNNNNNNNNNAUAUAUAUAUAUAUAUAUAUAUAUAUAUAUAUCCCGAUUAUAUACAUAAUGGAUAAUAGUAUAUUUUAAAAACCAUAAAUAAUUACCAUUUCUAUUGUUAGAUAACGGAUUUAUAACAUUUGUAAUGUUAGAAAAUGGAGUUCUAACAUCUGUAAAGGAAAGACAGUAUUGUAUGGUUGUGUUAUGCUUUGCAGGUGUUGUAAAUGUAUUGACAUUUUGAGUUUGACGAACAAUGUUGAUUGAUUGAUCUGCAAAUAGAAAUAAAUUAUAAAACUUGUAAAUAUAUGUAUAGAACAAUAUAACAGUAUUUUUGAACAAAUAUUGUAAUGAUGUACUUGGAACGUUCGAUGUUGUUUUUAUUUUCUUCGAUCUUUUAUUUUCCAAAUAUAUUUUUCUUUGUCUUCUUUUCUCUCUGGCCUGCGUGUGGUACAUGUUACUGUUGUUUUCUGCAUAAGAAGACAUAGGAUAGGAUAUGAAAUGUGAAAUUAGGUAAAUAAUAUGUUUAUAUAAUACAAUUAAAGUUAGUUAAAAUGAAAUAAAUAAUAAUAAUAAAGUAAAUGUAUUUAAAAAAGUUACCACUAUUAAUUCGUUUAUUAAAAUGCAUAACAAAAUUUGAAAAUAUUAAUUUCUUCAUUUAUAAUAUUUUUUAAACAAAAUAUCCAAUUGAAAAAUUUUGAAUAUUAAAUAAUAUAAAAUAGAAUUAAAAAUUUUAUAUUUGUUUAUAUUGUGUAACUCUUUAAUAAUCUUUAAAAGUAUAUGUGUUACGAUUGUGUAUUUGAUUGUUCCAUCACUUGUGGUUUCCUAUAGGGCUACAUAUAUUAUUUAAACAAAUUAAUCCAGCAAAAGAAGUUUCAAUAAUCUACCAACAAAUACCUUUCUACAAAAGUCUUAUUCAUCAGUCACUAUGUUUAUUUUACUCUCUCUGUGUUUGUGUUUUCGUACCAGGAAGGAAAAAAAGCAAUUUGUUUGACAUAAAUUCUGAAAUUUGGAUGCUUGUUUAGAACGACUACAAUCUUCCAUAGAUGGUCGUCGAAGAUUAGCCGUCAAAGAAUCUCAUCGAUUCCCCCAUAAUCGAUCGCAAUCAACAAAGAAUGAAAGGUUAGUAGAAUAUUUCAUCUACGAUGUCGUGUCGUCGUCCGAUUUGGUCAUAGUCAGGUUUGAAAAAUAUGAUCUGAAGGUAGACUCUCCUUCUUCCAGUACCACAAUCAAUUAUUUCCAUGAUGACCAUCAUGACUAAUCAACCUCGUUUCCAACCUAGGGUUUAUUCGAUUAACAUCUGCUCUUUCCCCAAUUUCAACCAAUCGUGGGUUCGGAUGAUUUCAGGGGUUAAAACCCUAGAUCUCCAAUGAAACAAUGAAGGUAAAAUCAUGUGAUAGACAAAACCGUGAUGAUUAAAAAUUGAUUAUUGAUCAUAAACAUCUAUUCUAACAUAUUUUUUUACUGAUCAGUAAAAUGAAAGUUUAUUUAGAUUUCGGUAACACUUUUUGUUCUAGUAUUUCCAUAGGUCGAUUAAUUGCAACUGUUUCACAAGAUAUAAAAGAUUUUGAUCUAUUAUUUGUAUAUAUUAUAACAUAUGAAGAUCUUCAAAAACCAAGAACACAUAAGUUUGUUUGAAGUUGUAUGAAACAGUUUGUUGUAAAUUUCAACCAUAAAUUCAUAGAGAAACCAGUGUAGUGUAAACUGAUAAUACUAACCUAACAUAGUGAUAUGGAAAUCUUGCAGCAAGUAAGACGGGUUUAAAAUGAAAAGCAGUUGAUUUGUGAACUGGAAUGAGGAUUAGAACUUGAAUGAAGCACCCUGAUGUACGUUUGAUGAAAAAAGAAUCGCAGAACCAAUUCAAAAAUAAAGAAGACGAAUGAAGAAAACGUAAAUUUGCGGUUUCACGUUCUGAGGUAAAGUUAUAUAUAUAUAUANNNNNNNNNNNNNNNNNNNNNNNNNNNNNNNNNNNNNNNNNNNNNNNNNNNNNNNNNNNNNNNNNNNNNNNNNNNNNNNNNNNNNNNNNNNNNNNNNNNNNNNNNNNNNNNNNNNNNNNNNNNNNNNNNNNNNNNNNNNNNNNNNNNNNNNNNNNNNNNNNNNNNNNNNNNNNNNNNNNNNNNNNNNNNNNNNNNNNNNNNNAUAUAUAUAUAUAUGUAUCAAUAAAAACAUUCUUCAUAUUUAUCUUUGUGAUCUUUUCUCAUUAUUUUUAUAUGUUACAGGUCAUUGUAGAGUAGGCUAAAAGAAGAGAUAUACAAAUAUAGAAAGGCAAUAGUUAUAAUUACGUGGUUUUAAUUAUGAGUUUCUUGAUAUAAUUUACAACUGCACAUAGAUGGUCCCUGUUAAAAAAGUUAAAAGAAAAUGUCUUUGAAAUAUGAAAACAUAAAUGUUCCAUGUUUAAAAUAAUCAACAUAAAUAUUAUAAAUAAUAGACAAUAAGAACACAACACAUAGAAGUUGGUUUCUAUUAAAUGUAAUUAUUCAAAUCUUGUAUCUAGAUUACAUAAAUGGUCACUACAUUUUAAAACUUAACUUACAUCUUCCACUUUUAAACAUAGCAAAACAUGAAGAGGUUACAAAAGAACAGGGUGUCAUUUUAUGGGUUCCUGUUUAUAAAGAAGCCAUCGAUUACAACAGCUUUGUAUAAAUAUCAUAUAAAAAUUAGUUAGACCAUUUUUCCGAUAACCAAAUUGUGCGUUAUCUUCUUUUCAAUUUUUUACCUUCACAAAAAAUUUAGAUUAUGUAACGGAUAAACAUCACCAUUCCUACAUCUAAACACUCACGUCAAUCCUAAAUAGGCUUACAUCACCUACAAUAAAUGGACAUACCAAUCGAUUGCAGCCGGUUACGUACACCAAGAACCCUUCGCCCUUUCGCAUCGCAUUUAAUACCCCUCUACACCACUCAACAGCUUCGACCUUCCCUAUAAAUCAACAAACCCCAUAACAUCUCCAUACCACAUCCAAUCACACUACCCAUUGGAAAACCAAAAGCCAAAACCACUCCCACAAAAUGAAACCGGCUGAAAUGGAAAGCAUCAUUCAUAUGCUGAUUGGCCAGGCGGAGGAAGAGCUGGCCGCUUUAACAAACCUCGAAAGCGAUUUCUACUUCAACCAGGAGAUGAAGAACGAACUGCUGGAGAACAUGAGCCGCCGACCAAAGUACACCAACUACCUACAUAUGAAGGACCUCAUCAACAACAGUACGUACGUGGCAUCAGAAAGAAUCAUGGCGAUUUACAGUCUAAAGAAGGAAACUGAAAUGACCAUCCAGGAGCUCAGGAAACUACUCAAAACACUUCCAGAAGAUGAUCAACCAUACAUGGACUGAUCAAAAANACAUCCAAUCACACUACCCAUUGGAAAACCAAAAGCCAAAACCACUCCCACAAAAUGAAACCGGCUGAAAUGGAAAGCAUCAUUCAUAUGCUGAUUGGCCAGGCGGAGGAAGAGCUGGCCGCUUUAACAAACCUCGAAAGCGAUUUCUACUUCAACCAGGAGAUGAAGAACGAACUGCUGGAGAACAUGAGCCGCCGACCAAAGUACACCAACUACCUAGAUAUGAAGGAACUCAUCAACAACAGUACGUACGUGGCAUCAAAAAGAAUCAUGGCGAUUUACAGUCUAAAGAAGGAAACUGAAACGACCAUCCAGGAGCUCAGGAAACUACUCAAAACACUUCCAGAAGAUGAUCAGCCAUACAUGGACUGAUCAAAAACAAAAAAAUCACCAACUCUUUUGUCAUCUUAUUAUCCAUGGUCUCUUUAAAUCGUUUUCUCUUUUGAUGCUAUGCUUAUGAACAGAUCCAUGGUUCAGCCUUGUAUUCACCUCUAAGAAAUAUAAUCUAUCGUUUAUGUCUAUUUUGUCAUUCCAUAUAUAAACCGUAAUGCACACACACAAUAAACCACAUGUGAAGCACGUUUAUGAAGUUUUAUUCUCCUGGAAAUUGUCUAUUCCGUUGUCAGGUACUAAACCGUACCUUUUGCUUUUCAACAUAAAGUCAAAAUUUUGUCACAUUACUAACUCUCUUCAACAUAAAUAUAGAUAAGAAAGACCAAUUAUGUAUGUAUUCACAUUUGCAUCUGUUUUAUCUCCUCAACAUAGAGAAAACAACAAACCAAAAACAUUUCAUCCGACCCCCGCAUCGCGGGGGCUCCCCCUCUAGUUUAUGAUAUUUAGAGGUUACAUAGAAACCAAUGAAAGUACAUUGUCAUUAAAGGAAUGUUCCAUUAAUAUUAAACCAAAAAACAUUUUAAAGUACAAUGGUAUAACCAUAAGAUUUAAAUGGUUUAAAAUGAAAAAAAGUAGGAUUCAUCAAUAUGAUGAAAAAAAUUAUCAAGUAAACAGCCGUUAAAGGGAAUGUUCCCUUCUAAAAAAUAACAUAAUAAUGAUAUUUACUGGUUAAAGGGAAACCAAUGAAAGUAAAAUGUUGUAGUAUUGACUAUUGAGUAGUUUUUUUUAGUUUAAGAGGAAUACCAACAAAGUUUUCAUUUUUUUUAAUACAAAUUAGAUAAAGCACAAAUAUGAAUCCAAUUUUUAAUUAUUGAUAUCAUAAUAAGGUAAAGUAUUAACAAAUUUGAUAGACACGUGCAAGCAAAUUAAGCACCCUCAAUCACAAUAUAAUUUCACCUGUAAAAGUAUCAAAGUAUCAAGCUCGAGAUAGCUUUAUUAGUUUCUCCAAAAAGGAUAAAAUACAGGCAUGGAAAAUAGCCUAAAGUCUUAUAUGGCAAUAUGUAUAUUAAUUUAAUAGUUCAGUUUUAAUAGGAUGUAGAUCGUUCCAUUUGUUCCACUAAGAUGCAUAGGAUGAUAACUAUGUACUUAUUUGAUAUUGAAAUGUCAUGACCUUUCUUUCUGGAGGUAUGUUUUCAAAUUAUUCAACCAAUUUAUGUACUUAUCUUUAUCUUUAAUGUGUUUAGAAUUUAGUGUUAUAAAAACAAAUAAAAUAAUUUAAAUUAGCUUAUUGCGUGCUUGAUGAAUUAAAGUUGAUUUUUCUAGGAUUCGUCAACACUAUUGACAUGUUUUAUGAAAAUGACUUUUGUUGUCUUAUUUGUUGACUCAAAAAGACUUUUGCAUUCUUUUUACCUGUACUUAUUAUAGCAUCCUAAUUUCAUUUAUUAUUAUCACAAAAUUGUACUUUCAUAAAUGUACCAAGUUAUAACAAUAUAAUCUAAAUGUAAAACAAUUUUCAUUUGUAUAAUAAGGUAAACUUUUAUAAGUAUAAUAGGGGUAAAAUGGGUAAAAUAGUAAUUUUAUCAAGAAAUAACAUAUUAGACUUCAUUUAUUUUACUUUUUAAAUAAAAGAACCAAUAUUUGCUAAUUAAGAGUGUAAAUAAAAAGUAUUUACAAAACAAAAAUUGAAUAUUAAAAUAAAACAUACUACUACACCAGUAGAUACGAAUAGCAAUACACUUCAAAGGGGAAAAUAAACAAUAGCAUUAUGCUUAAAGGAAGAGACAACAAAGGCAUUAUAGUUUUUAACUAAAAGGGGUAGCCAAAAAUCAUAAAAACCUUAUACUAAUUAACAACCUGGAUGAGCUGUAACAUUUGAACAAUAAUAACCCCAUAGGCAAUAUCGGCAAAAAAUUUAAAAUAUUAAGAAAAAAUUCAAAAAAAUAUUUACAAGCAAAUAAACUUCAAAAUAUAUUUUAUUUGAGUUAUAACCAAAAUCAACUAACUUGUCCACUUUAAAACAAUAAAAGUAUCCAAAAAUAUUCAAAACCAAUAAUAUUUCACAUCCUAAAUACCCUAAAAUAAAAAUCAUACCAAGCAAUCAAAAUAUCUUUAUAACCAAAACAAAUGAUCUAAAUAUAUUAAAUGUGUCUUAUAACCAAUAGCAACUCACUUUUCCAUUUUUGGAAUCAAGAGUGGAGUUUCCUCCGCGGUUGACUUUCUUUUAGCCUUAGAUGAACUUAAAUCAUCUCCAGAAUCAACAUCAUAAAUUUCUUGGAGGUUGCGCUUCAAAUCACCUGAUAUUUUGCUUGGACUUGUUGCGGUUGACUUAUCAACUGUUGAGGGUGUAAAACUUUCGUCUGUUUGUGAGAUCACAUCCUAAUUUUAAAAAAAAUAAUAAUAACUGUUUAAUUCCUAAAAAAAUAACUAAUAUAAUUAAAAGUUUAUAAAAUAAAAUGAAAAACCUUUUGAGCAGGCUGUACAACAUCAUCGGAUUCCAAAACAACUUGAUUUAAGGAGACAGAUUGAAUACUCUAAAAAAUAAAAUGGAAAUAUGUUAAUCGUUAUGUACUUUAACAGUAAAGAAUUGUAAAUUUUCAACAAUAAAAGAUUACAUACCAUAAGUUCUAUUUUACUUUCCAAUUCAGAAACAAUGGACAUAUCUUCUGUAACUCUGAGAACUGUAUAGAUGUUAUUAUAGUUGUUGACAUUGUAUUCUGUAAUAUCUACAACAAAACCAAACUUGCGGUUUUUCAACACGUUAAGUUGCAUUGGAAAUAGGGCAUCACUGUCUCCGGCCUGUAAGAUAUAUUUUAAUAAAUUAAAAAAAUAAAGUAAAUGUUUUCUGAUUUUAAGGUAUGAAUAAUAUACCGCAUCAUGUAUCUUUUUCAACUCGCAGGCACUUAUAUUUAACAACCUCUUUGCUUCCCUAUCAAAAAGAGUCAAUCCAAUGGUUCCAGUACAAUCUUGUACGUUGAUUGGAAUUAUAUACCUAAAACAAAAAAAAAUUAUGUCAUUGUUAGUGUUGUUUUAAGAUUGACAAAAUUAAUAGAAAUAAAUAUGUGUAUACUUUAUAACUGACUGAAAUUCAGAUUUUUUGCAUUGUGCAUUUGUACACUCGACAACCAUAGUUUCUGAAAUUCCCUCAGGGUUGGUAUACGAAUGAUUGGCUUUGGGAACAGGGAUUAUUUUUUUUCCACAUUUUUUGCAUGCUUCAUAAUACCAUGGUAGAUUCUGCCUUAUAUUAACAAUGGAAGCAACUAAUAAAAACUUCAUUUCCUGUAUCAUAUCAAAUGUAAAACUUAUUAAAAUAAAUUAUGCAAAAAUAAAAUGUAAAACAUAUCAAAUAAUGCAAUAUACCUUAAUUGGUUCGGUGAUCUCACAGACUGUUUUUAAUGGAAAAUUGCCCUUAAAGUCAUCUGUAUAUGAAGAAGAGUAGCUUUGAAGUGUAGUUAUGCUUUUUUCAGUUAUACCGAAAUUGUCAUGACAUUUCAACCUGUGAUGUUUAAUUUAGAUUCAUGAAUAUUAGGUUUUGUGUUUUUUUAAGUUAAAAUACAUUAUAAAAAAAUAAAAAACAAUUGGAAACUAACUUAUUUUUAAACUCAUUUAUUUCAUAAAUGUCAGAAUUUAUGAACAAUUUCGUUACUUCAAAAUGACUUUUAGCUUCACCAAGACCUGUAAAAAAUGUAUAUCCAAUUAAUAAAAAUUAUAUAAAAACAGUAAUUAUAAACAUCUAUAUAUAAAGACUGAAUACAAACCAUUCCAAAUGUUUAGCUUCAAAAACUGCAUCACGAUAACAACAAAAUUAACCGUCGGGUUAUUUUUUAGGUAUUCUGAAAUUUGAUAUGCUUGACUUCCAAAAAUAGUAACCUUCAGAUGUACAGAACUAAAUAAACCAUAAAAUAGUAUAUUAAUAUUAAUUUGUGAUUAAUUAAAGAUAAUAAAUAAUAAAUAAAUAAUAAAAUAUAAUCUCACUCUAGGUUGCUAAGAGUGAGUUUUAUAUAAUGCUUGGAUGGUACUGGAUUUGAAGUUUCAAGAGGCCUAAAUGACACGAUAUGUCCAAUAACAUCUACACAACAGAUAACACAACAUAAACUAUUGAAUUAAAAUCGUAAUAUUUAAAUAAUAAAAUGUAUAACCAAAAAAACAAAUGAUAAAAAAUGAUUUUAUUAAUAUUUUAUGACUAACCAAAGAAUGUGUCUCUUGGGCAUGUUUGUUCUAUGAUAGAAUUAAAGUCAACAAACAUAAAUCCAUUGACCGGACCCGAGAAAUCAUCACAUUUUUUUAGGAUGCUUUUCCAAUCCAAAGUUAAGGUCUGUUUAUGACCUGUAUAACUAAAACCAUUAGUAACAGCAGCCAUAUUGGGUUUUAUAACUAUAUAACUUUCAUCUUCCUUUAAAAGAUGACGAAAUCUGGAGAAAUUCUGAUUGAAGACACGAGCUUGGUAUUGUGUACCCUGUUUAAAAAAAAAUUAAAAAUUAUUAUGUUCAUGAAACAUGUCUAAUAUUGAAUGAUGAAUAAAAAAUAUAUCAAAUACAACAAACCUCCUCGUCCAUGAUGAUCAUUUCAAUCGAACAAACUUUAUUAUUUCUGACAAAGUUCCAAAUUUUAAGCACCCGAACCUUGAUAUGCGAUUUUUCAUCUAUCUGGUCAAUGUUAUUUAGGUAAACCUUAUUUCCUAUUUCCAUUUUCUGCAAGAAAUUUAAUCAUUAUAGAAUUGUAAGGAAAAUUAGCAACCUUUUAGAAUGUACAGAACAUCCUAACCAAUAAGUAAAACAGAAAAAUUAAAAAUCAACACAUGACAAUAACAACUGACUUAAUGUACUCAUAAAUUUUUAAAUUCAAUAAUUCAUUUUAUAAUAAAAUGGAAUACAAACAAAAAAAAAUAAUUCAUAUGAAAUAAUGUUUUAGAUUGAAUAAAAGUUUAUAUAAUAAGAUGGAACACAAAUAUAAAAUUAACAUGAAAACGACAAUUAUACCGAAAAUGCCCCUGCAACAUACUAACACUAACAGAUAACAUAACAAUGAGUAAAACAGAAAAAUUAAAAAUCAACACAUGACAAUAACAACUGACUUAAUAUACUCAUAAAUUUUUAAAUUCAAUAUUUUUUUGAGAUUGUAUUUAGAUAAAUACAAACAAAUUUUAAAAUUUCAUACCAUCAAAACAAAAGUUACUGUGCACAUCUGAAAAAGACUAUUUUUAAUUUUUUUUAAAGAAAAUGAACUUGUAAUGUUCAUUAGUUUUUCGUCUUUUAAACUGAAAAGGUAGAAGAAGUAGACGAUUAAGAAGAAUUACAAAAAAGAAGAAGAAGAAUAGAAAUCAUACAAUGAGAACGUGAUAGAUACCGAUAAAUAAGAACAUGAAGGGAAUAGAAAUAUUUGUAAUUCUGAUUUUUGAAUACACUAACCUGAUAUUUAAUUCUUGAAGCGUUGCAGAAUCACAAAGAAUGAAGAAGAAUACGUUUGUUGUGGUUUCUAUGGAGCAGAAUUGUUAUGGAGCAGAAUGGUAAAAACAAAAUAACCGUAUAAAUGAUAUUUACGUUUGCUGAAAAAAUACUGCAGAUUUUUAGGGAUUUAAUGAUUGCAAUAUAUUUAAUUUGCAAUCAAAAUAAACAAACUUUCAAAUUUAAUCGUGAAUUUCGAAUCUGAUUAUUGAUUAACAUAUUUUUUCAAAUUAUUUCCAUAAUCUUUAUUCAUUUAAAAUUAAUGCUUGAAUAUUUUGAAUGCAGUUGACAGCUAAAAUUUCCGGAUUUAUUGCAUCAGUUUGAACUUUGAUUCAAUUUGGAUUCAAUGGCAUUUACGUAAAUAUAGAUGAAUAAAUGAGCGGGAAAACUCGAUUUUGGGGGUCCUUAGAGAGUGACACGUGGCAGAGUUCUACUUAUUUAUUAGAAUUAGGAUUAUUCNNNNNNNNNNNNNNNNNNNNNNNNNNNNNNNNNNNNNNNNNNNNNNNNNNNNNNNNNNNNNNNNNNNNNNNNNNNNNNNNNNNNNNNNNNNNNNNNNNNNNNNNNNNNNNNNNNNNNNNNNNNNNNNNNNNNNNNNNNNNNNNNNNNNNNNNNNNNNNNNNNNNNNNNNNNNNNNNNNNNNNNNNNNNNNNNNNNNNNNNNNNNNNNNNNNNNNNNNNNNNNNNNNNNNNNNNNNNNNNNNNNNNNNNNNNNNNNNNNNNNNNNNNNNNNNNNNNNNNNNNNNNNNNNNNNNNNNNNNNNNNNNNNNNNNNNNNNNNNNNNNNNNNNNNNNNNNNNNNNNNNNNNNNNNNNNNNNNNNNNNNNNNNNNNNNNNNNNNNNNNNNNNNNNNNNNNNNNNNNNNNNNNNNNNNNNNNNNNNNNNNNNNNNNNNNNNNNNNNNNNNNNNNNNNNNNNNNNNNNNNNNNNNNNNNNNNNNNNNNNNNNNNNNNNNNNNNNNNNNNNNNUAUAUAUAUAUAUAAGAUUAAAAAACUUUCAUUUUUCCUACUAAAGAGUUGAAUGGCCAUUGAACUCCAAAUCCAUUGAAUGCCAAGGUGGCAUCUACUAUGGUAGAGUUUCAUCCAUUGAAUGACAACUAGACUUGUCACCUCAUUCAACCCUCUUAUUGAACUCACCACUGUGGAUGCUCUUAUUACCACUAAAUGAUCUCUGGUGCCAGUUUCCUUUUAUUAAUUCUUUGUUUUCAACCAAAAUCUACGUUGUGAAAUAUAUUGAAGAGUCACUUUAGUCUCAAUUCCUUGGUGGUUUGUUUAUUAGUCAUGGUUGUUCUUUCUGUUUUAAACGAGAGUUUUAAGCCGGUACAUUGUUGCAUUAGUUUAAACAAUAAUUUUAGUGAACAUAUUUUUAUGAAAUUUAAGUUAUACCCACUUGUAAUUCCUUACCCACAAUAGCAAUGUACUUUGCAUAUUUUACUAAUAAUCUUAUGGUAAAAAUAUAGUGCAUUGCCCAAAUUAGUAGGUAACUAUGACAAACACACAAAAGUUAUCAUCAUUAGAUCAUCUGGUUCUUAAUUUCCUCACAAAUAAGUUAUUAUCUCGGCAUACCCACAUCACUUUACUGGGUAAAGCAAUAUAAGAUAUAUGAUUUAAAAGCAUUCCAUUUCACUUUAUUGGAUAAAGUAACAGUAGAAGAUAUAUGAUUUAAAAGCAUUCCACUCACUUUAUUGGGUAAAACAAUAGUAGAAGAUAUAUGAUUUAAAAGCAUUCCGCUUGGAGUUUGCCCAAUUAAAGGUUAUCAGGGGAGUCAUUCACAUUCAAGACUGAAGGUUUAAUUCUUAAUUAAAAGUAAAAAAGCAUUACUUAGGGUUUGUUUCUUUUUUUUACCAAAUGUGUUGAAUGGGUAAAGCACUCAAUCUAAACAACUAAACUUGUAAUGGCUUAAUGGGUUAAGUCUUAAGCAGAUAGAAAUCAAACGACACAAAAUAUCACAACAUCAACAAUUCUUAUUCAAGUAAGAAUCAGUUGGUUUUCAUUUACUUACAGUUGAAAACUCAUUGCAAUAACUCUCAACCCUCUUAUUAUGGACUAAUCUAUCUACUGAACAUAGAACAAAUCAAGAAUGAAAAAUAACCCUAACUUCAGUAGGAACAGAUACAGACCGAAUAUAGAAGAUCUAGAUAGAAAGGACGAAGCCAUUGUAACGUAAAAUGAAUACAAUAUGAACCAAAACACAGUCAAGGCACAUAUUUAUACAACGGGUCAACCUAAGUAUGAAUCAAAUAAAACCCACGCCUCAUUCUCCUUGAUAAGCUUCAAUUAGAACUCCGCAGCCCAGAAGAUUUAUCUACUUUGUACAAAUAACCCUUCCUGCAAAUAUCUAACCAACAUGAGAAAUACAAACUAACAUAAACUACCCUAAAUAAAUAAUAAAUACAUUUUAAUGAUACAUAAGAUUAUCAAUGAAUUAUAAGUUUGAAGGAAUUGACAUCAACUAUCUGAACACCCCUCCUCAAACUUAAAAUUCAAAGAAAGCAUUAACAAACUCCUUGGAAAGGAUCAACAAGACCCAACUUUUGACAAAUCCAUUCGUGUUGUGAAACACUUAAACCCUUAGUAAAAAUAUCAACCAAAUUAUUUUCAGAACUAAUUUCAAAAACCUCAACGAUUCCUUUUGAAACACGGUCUCUAAUAAAAUGAAAAUCAACAUCAAAGUGCUUAGUUUUAUCAUGAAAUAUUGGAUAAAGAACAAGCUUUAUAGCUGAUUCAUUAUCACAAAAGAUUGGAACAAGAGUUUUAUUCUUAAUACCAAGAUCAAAAAGAAUUUUCAAAUUCCAAAUAAUUUCACAAGAUACAAUACUCAGGGCUCGAUAUUCAGACUCAGUUGAUGAGCGAGAAACAGUCUUCUGUUUUUUACUCUUCCAUGAAAUAAGACUAUUACCAAAAAAAAUACUACAUAACCUGUUACAAAUUUCCUUGGAACAAGACACUCUGCCCAGUCUGCAUCAACAAAACUUUUAAGACUUAAAGAAUCCGUUUUCACAAUAGAAAAACUUCUUCCAGGAUUACCCUUUAAAUACCUCAAAAGUCUUAUAGCAACAUUAAAAUAAGACUUCAAAACUUGCACAGAAUAAGAAAUAUCUGGCCUGGUAAUGGUUAAGUAAAUAAGCUUACCAACCAAUUUUUGAAACAAAAUAAUAUUAGGUAUUAAACUAUCAUUUUUAUCUAAACCAUCGUCUUUAACAACAACAUUAUUAUCCAAAGGAAUUUUAACAGGUUUACAACCUAACAUCCCAAAUUCAUAAAUUAACUCAAUGUCGUAUUUCCUUUGACAUAAACAAAUACCAUUAUUAAUAUCAACAACCUCAAUACCCAAAAAAUAUUUUAACUUUCCCAAAUCUUUAAUUAAGAACUUAAACUUUAAGAGAUUAUUUACUUUAUUAAUUUCAUCAACACUACUACCUGUAAGAAUAAUAUCAUCAACAUAAACUAAAAUUGCAAGAAAACAAUUAUUAUCAGACUUCACAAAUAGAGAAAAAUCAUUUAUACUUUGUAUAAAACCAAAUUCAAACAAAGCACCACAUAGUUUCUCAUUCCAUUUUCUAGGAGCCUACUUAAGUCAAUAUAAAGACUUUAACAACUUACAGACCUAAUUAUUAUUUUUAUCAUGAUAUCCUAGAGACAAAGACAUAUAAACACCUUCAUAUAAUUCACCAUAUAAAAAGGCAUUAUUAAUAUCAAGUUGAAACAAUUUCCACCCAGAAUUGACAGCAACAAUAAUAACAGUUCUAACCGUAACCAUUUUAGCUACAUGAGAGAAGGUUUCCUCAUAAUCUAAACCUUCUCUUUGAUUAUAGCCUUUAGCUACCAACCUAGCUUUAUACCUUUUAACCUAACCAUUUGAUUUAUAUUUAAUCUUAUAAACUCAUUUGCAACCAAUUGGUUUUCUAUCAGAAGGUAAAUCACAAAUAAUCCAAGUCUGAUUUCUAUAUAAAGCUUCCAUUUCCUCAUUCAUAGCUUUAACCCAAUUGGAAUCUAAUGAGGCUUCAUAAUAUGAAUUAGGUUCAACAUUCUUAUUAAGAUUAGCCACAAAACACAUACUUUCAAAAUCCAAAAAAGAAUAGUUAACAGAUUUCUCAAUUCCAUAUUUAUACUUUCCUUUAAUAAUAAAAUAACUAAACUUUUUUGGAAAUUUAGAUUCUCUAUGAGACCUCCUCAAAGACUGACUAUCAGAAGAAGUUGAAACAACAUAUUCCUCAGAGUUAUCUAAAAAUUCAGAUAUAACUGGAUCAGGUUGCGAACUAUGUGUUUCACAACCUGGAGAACCUUCCUAAUUAGGAAGAGUUGCAAUUCUAUUUAAACUACCUUCAAGACUAGAAUCAGUUACACUCAUAGGUUGAACAACAUUAAAAUCACCCUCCUGAUAGUUACCAUCUAAAUUCCUAGUGUCUUGCUAAUCAUCAAGAAUAUCAUAUAACAAUAUCUCAUCAUUGGAAAAGGGAUCCCAUGGAACAUGAUCACUCAAUGAAGGAGACUCAAGAAAAUCAGGAAAAGCAUCAGAAUAACCAAUUAAAACACACUUUUCAGACCUUUCAGAAAAUUUAUCUUUAAUAUCAAGUUUAGUUGAAAAACACAAACAUCCAAAUACUCUAAUUUUAUAAAAAAACAGACACAUGUUUAUAAACAAGUUCAAAAGGAGUUUUACCAUUUAAAACAAAAGGAGUCCUAUUUAUUUAAAAAAAAACAGUUGUUAGAACAGCAUCUCCCUAAAAUUUUCUAGGUAAACCAGAUUGAAAUAAAAGAGACCUAGAAACAUUUAGAAUAUGUCUAUGUUUUCUCUCUACAACACCAUUCUGUGGAGUAUGAAUACACGAAGUUUGAUGAACAAUGCCCUUUCCUUCAAGAAAAGUUUUCAUAUUAAAAUUCACAAACACAGUCCCAUUAUCACAUCUGAUCGUUUUAAUUUUAACAUUAGAUUGAUUCUCAAUCAAGGCAUGAAACUCACGAAAACAAAAUAAAACAUCAAUUUUAGAUUUUAAAAGAUAAAACCAAGUAGCUCUAGUAAAAUCAUCAACAAUUGUAAGAAAAAAUCUAAAACCACUAGCAGCAAGAACUUUAUAAAGACCCCAUACAUCCAGAUGAAUAAGUUCACCAAGUUUACUAGACUUAUGUUCACUUAAUGGAAAAGGUUCUCUUAUUUGUUUAGCCUUAUGACAAACUUCACAUGGCAUGACAUUUUCAUUUUCAAAUUUAAGAAUCAGUUUUAACACAUUUAAAGCCUUAUCAGCAGGAUAACCUAGCCUAUUGUGCCAAGUAAGUUUAGAAACAAAACAUUUAGAACUAUAAACAAAAUUUGACUUACCUAGAGAACUAUUUUUAUUUUCAAGAUAAUAAAGACCUCCAAAUUCUUUACUAGUGUAACAUCCAAAAUUUCAAAACAAUUAAAACUUUUCAAAAUCAUCCAUUUUAUUAACAUUAUUACAAAAAGGUUUUCAAUACAUUAUUUAACAGAGUAAUUUCCCAGGUUCAUAUCAUAAAACACCAACGCGAGGAACGGUACGAUCACGCCUUUGCCUUGCCACAGACUCCUGAGAACCUGAAACAUAAAACCACGACUGUAAGCCCGAAAGCUUAGUGAGAUAUCCCCAGAAUACCAACCACAUAUACGCCUUUCCAGGCCCUGACCUUCCGGUCCAUGUGUCUCAGGGGACUUCCGUCCCUACUGGGUAAACCUUCCGGUCCUACCCACGCCGACCUUCCGGUCCAUCACACAACAUAAUCGCCUUCCGGCCCAUAACAUAUUGCCUUCCGGCCCAUAAGCAUAAAAUGCACAUAUAACAUAACAAGCAAUCAUAUAGCAGUUCAUAGACAACAAUCGAUCAACAGAUCACAUAUCAUAGCAUUACUCUAACAAGAUACCGGUCUAGCCGGUCACUAUCAUAACAUUACCCUAUGAACCAGUCAACAUACUAAAUGCAUACAUACGCCUUUCCAGGCCAUGACCUUCCGGUCCACAUAGUAAUGCCUUCCGGCCCAUAACAUGUAUUGCCUUCCGGCCCAUAACAUAUAACAACUGACAACUACCCGGAUUUCCAUCCGAUAAAAGGGUUGGCAUUGGUGCCAUAAACCCUAGCGAUAUAGUGAGGAUAACUCACCUCGAAACUGCCGACUGAACAGAUAGCUCAAGCUGCUCCGAUCACUGAUACGAUCUCCACCUCUGGACAGUCACCAAUGCACUGAACUCAAACAAUAACAACAAUUACCAAAAUACCCCUGGAACCACUGGUAAAUCCUUGGUCAAAGACAAGGUCAAAGUCAACCCCUGACUGACCCUACUCGCCGAGUCAACCCUAUGACUCGCCGAGUCCCCAUACUCAGAACUUCGCUUAACCCGCGACCUAACUCGCCGAGUCACCCCAAGACUCGCCGAGUUCAACGACUCUGAGUCCACUCGCCCUUGACUCACCGAUUCCUUAAGAUUCCCUUUCUACACGUCGAGUAUCCCCUUUUUACUCGACGAGUUCCUCCUGGAAGAAUCAUGGGGCCACCCCGACUCAACUCGUCGAGUCUGAAGAACGACUCGACGAGUCCCAGUUAAUCUUCAAGCUACUCGUCGAGUCUGAAGAACAACUCGGCGAGUCCAUGUCAUGCAGAUGAGCAACUGCUUCCUGAAUUACGUAUGGUCCCGAGAUAUACAAUCAUGGGACUUUCUGGACUUCUAAACAUCUUAUUACUGGGGUAUAAACGUCUGGGUAAUAACAUAAUAACCCAUCUAAUCACUAAGUGGGUUUCAUAAACCCUAGAUUCGUAUACACAUCAAAAUAACAGAAAUGGUCCGAGUGUUACCUGAAAACGCACUCUCUGUGUCCCCCAAACCUCAGGACUCGAUCCUCCUUGAUAUUCCUUUGGCCAAAUUCUUCUUCUUCUUGCCUAACAAGUUCUUCCAAGUUCCAAUAGCUUUCUCCCUUGCUCUAGACGUCCACAACGAUUAGGGUUCUUCUCAAUCGACCAAAAGACGGACAAUGACGGCCUAAGGGGCGUUAUAUACAAUCCAAAACCGAACGGUUAGGGUUUCUGCUGAACAGCGUCGACUCGUCGAGUCCAGUCGCGAACCCGCGACCAAGUCUGCGAUCCUACUCGGCGAGUCUAGGCUCCAACUCGCCGAGUCCCCUCUUAAAUCACCCCCAAAAACAUAAUUAUAUCAAUAUCUGAAAUUCCGGGCUGUUACAACUAGUCUCCCCAGUCAUCUUGGAUAGAGAAUCCUGAACAUAGCAACUAUUUUCAUCAAAAGUGACUUUACAAUUGUUUUCCUUUACACAACUUAUGAACAGAUAAAAGAUUGACAUGAAAAUCAGGAACAACAAAAACAUCGGUUAAGAUGAUAGAAUUUGAAAGAUUCAUGUUUCCAAUUUUGUCAAUCUUAACAGUGGAUCCAUUAGGAUGAUCCACCUUUAAGUUAAACUUAGAAACAUCAACCAUAUCAAAAAGUUGUGAUUCAGAACCAGUCAUAUGUUUGACUAGCUCCUGAAUCAACAACCCACCUUUUGUUUUUAAAAGAAACAUUAUUACACAUCAUACCUGCCAUAUUGGCAUUUCCAGUAUUACCUUUUGAAGACUAUUUCUCAUUAAGAAGAGCCAAGACUUUAGAAUAUUGUUCACUUGUUAAAAAAUGUUGAUCAAGCUUAUUAGAAGAGGUUACUGAAAAACUACAGUUUUCACUAGCAUGUGAAUUAACAUGGGAAGCAGUUCCAGAUGAAGAGACUUUUUUAAAGUCAGAUUUAGGUUUGAAAUCUUUGGGAUAUCCAGUAAGUUUAUAACACUUUUCAAUUGUGUGGCCCUUUAUACCAUAAUUUUUGCAAACCAAACUAUGAUUUCUACAUUUAAAUUUUCGGUUUAUCAUUAAUUUUCCCAGAAAAAGCUGAAGAAGAAUUGUUCUUGUUAGACAAAACAGAAGAAGAUCCAUUUCUUUGAUUAGACUCUUCUCUAGACACAACAAAAAAAACAAUUUUAACAUCAGGUAAAGGUUCCAUUAACAAAAUGUGACUUUUUACCUGACUAAAUGACUUAUCUAAAUGAAACAUCCCAAAAAUACGACCCAAAAUUUUUUGUUUUAAUAUUACUAAAAAAUUGCAACGUCAAUUAUUUGAUAAUAAAACCACGAAUCAUAUGUCUCAAAAUGCCAUAGUAAAUGUAUCAAUUCAAAAACUGAAGUUAAUAUCAUAUCGAAAUAUCUAAAUAAAACUCCCAGGAAUAAACUGCAACUGUGGUGUGUGUCAUGCCAUCAAUCCGAGCCCUUCCCCUUGCUUGCGGAAGUACCUGAAACCAAAACUGAAACUGUAAGCACAAAGUUUAGUGAGCUCCCCCAAAUUACCACAUAUCAUACAAUUACAUAUAAUGCACAUAUUGGGCCUUGCCCACUGCAUCAGACCAAAGUCCGGACUAACCGGGGCCUUGCCCCUGUAUCAGACCGAAGUCUGGAAACUGCAUCGGGCCGAAUCCCAGACUAACUGGGGCCUUGCCCUCUACAUCGGACCGAAGUCCGACUAAUUGCAUCGGACCGAAAUCCGGACUAACUGGGGCCUUACCCCCUGCAUCGGACUGAAGUCUGGCUAACUGCAUCGGACUGAAGUCCGGACUAAAUGGGGCCUUGCCCCCUGCAUCGGACCGAAGUGCGGCUAACUGCAUCGGACCAAAGUCCGGACUAACUGGCUGAACAUAGCAUAGCAUAAUCAUAACUACUAGCAUAAACACAUUUACUACAUACUGCAUUGGACCGAAGUCCGGAACACAUAACACAAAAACAUGCUUCAAUCACAAAGACAUAAGGCACACUGAACUACUGCAUCAGACUGAAGCCCGAAACUACUGCUAACUAGCCGGGUCGGCAUUGUGGCCGUAGACCCGUUCUUACUGGAAGGAAAACUCACUUGAACUAUUGAACUCGGCCGGUAACCCUCCGGCUGCUAACCGACAACUCUCUGAAAUGUUGUUCCUCUAGCUCCCUGAGCAACCAAUACCAAUAACAACACUUAGACUAAACUGUCUUCCCGAGGUCAAUUAAGUCAACUUUGGUCAAAGUCCUGGUCAAAGUCAACCUUCCUGAUUGACCCUACUCGCUGAGUCAACCCGUUGACUCGUCGAGUUCUUAUACUCAGAAAACUCCCAUAACACGACUCAACACGCCGAGUCGCCCCAGGACUCGUCGAGUUGAACGAUCUCUGAAUUCCGUCUUGACCAACUCACUGAGUCACCAACUGACUCACAGAUCCGAAGCUUAACCAAAAGAGGUUGGGGUUCUGCGACCUGACUCGCUGAGUCCAAGAACAGACUCGCCGAGUCCAAGGCAAUCUUCAACAGACUCGCCGAGUUGUUCUUCCAACUCGUCGAGUCCAUGCACAUGUUCAUACAACUCGUCGAUUCCAUGCACAUGUUCAUACAACUCGCCGAGUACCCCCAUGUGACUCGCCGAGUCUCUCCAGUUCUCAAUCCAUUCAGAGGCUUUUUGAGCCAUGUAAGGGCUCCAAACCAUAGAUCCACCCCUCUAUAAUCUAACCCUCACAUAAAGUUGCAAACUUUACGUGAAACCAAAGAGAUAUAGGCCUAAAACACACUAUGGCUAGGGUUAAGGACUAAGGGGCUUCACCAACAACUCUUAAACAGAUACUUUAUGACAUUAUGGACCAUCACAAGCCUAGAUCUGAACUCCAAACCCGAAAUAGAUCUCAACAAGUUAAAGAAUUCCCAAAACAACCACCAAGGAUGAACCAAAAAGGAAAUAGCUCAAGAUAAGGGCUCCUUACCUCAAAGAUGUGCCCAAAACUGAUGUAGAUCCCAGAUCUAUACAAGCCCCUUCCAUUAAUUUCCUCUUCCAAGCCCCAAUCUCCUCAAUAAUGAAGCCUCACACGAAUUUAGGGUUUUUCUGGAACUCUCUGGGGGAUUAGGAGGCUGUGAGAGGGACAUAAAGUCCUUUAAAUAAGGUGCAAACCCUAAGAUUAGGGUUUUCUCAUUCCAGCACCAACUCGUCGAGUCCAACUUUCGACUCAACGAGUUGGUCACUUAAUUCGCGAUCCAAACCUGCUCCGACUCGGCGAGUAAGUAUACCUACUCGUCGAGUCCCUUCUUCAAUUUACACUUUAAGCCCGUAACUCAGACUUCUGAAAUUUGGGAUGUUACAACUCUCCCCCACUUAAAUUAGGCUUCAUCCUUGAAGCCUACUGCAGGAUACGCUUUCGAACUAACCACUUGCACUACAAACUCCGAAUUCCUAAAUAACUCAGGUCCUUCCAAACCCUACCACUGCACGCCUUUUUAAAAUAACUUCUUCUCGCGUGGCAGCCUUGCCUAAAACUCCAUGCCGACCACCGGCCUCAAAGUCGUCACAUAACAACCAAGUAUCACCCGGGAUACUGUCCCUUUCCUGACAGGAACACACUUUCAUGACUUGCGAAAGUUAUAUACCAUAAUAAUUCAGUGGGUCCUCUCCCGGUGCCAAACUAUCCUCCCUUUUUCCAUAUCUGCCGAUAACCUGAGCAACUCGCAAGGUUGGAACUCAUUUUGUCCUCUUCAUGAAUCCAUUCCUUUCAUGCUAACUACCCCAGGUUCUUACUAUAAAAACAGAAUUCACAGAUCCACUUAUCCCUAUGAUUCACUUAUACUUGGCCAUAAGUUAGAUAAUCAUGCUAUGAGUGACUUGCCACUCCACAAGCUAUCCAUGAAAAUCCAAAAUACCAUUACCGCUGGAGACCCAAGACUGUCUGAAAAGACUGAACUGCCUGAUCACUAACUGCCUGAACACUGACUGCCUGAAACACUGAACUACCUGAUCACUGACUGCCUAAAACGUUGACUGCCUGAAACACUAAACUGCCUGGAAUACUGACUGCCUGAACACUGAACUGCCUUCAACAGCAUGAUGCUACAUGGAUGCUUUCCAACAUCUCUCGAGACCUUCCUGGUCUCACUUCCUUCGUCAGUCAUCUGAAAAUCGGGUUCCAACCUGGCUGCGGGGCCAAAGGACUCCCUAUUUAUCCGCCUCACACGAACUAUGAAUAAAAUUCUUCUCUAGAACUAGUUGCCACUAGUUAUCAUGUCAUUGAGACUUUAACAACCUCCUGAUCCAAUCGAUCGGGUCUGUGCUUCGAAUCCUGAUGCUACCAAACCACGGCUAAACGUGACUGCUACAUGACCAAUUGUAGCCUUAUGUCAUAAAUGACCUUAAGCCGUCCACUGCUUCCUUGCUCUCAUAACUGUAGUGGCGCUUCUACAGUCUUAUCUCUGGCUUAACCAAAUCUAACCCGCUUGGGUAAAUUCCGAAAUCCAAUAUAUGGAUUUCCAUCUCCUCACUACCACACCCGAACUGGUGGGUACUACUGUCCUUCCCGCGUCCUUACCACGUACUCACGCUAUCGACUAACCUAGUGAAUGCUACGGCUACACCUGCAGACUUACAACACUCUAAUACGAUCUGACUGCUAGUGAAUGCUACGGCUAGAGGUACACCCAGUUUCACUCCCUUACAAAAAUGCACAGUCGAACUUCGUCAACCAGCAUAUGAAAUCCCUCCUAAUACAUUAGACGAUAGUUUUAGGAUGUUCACUAGGAUCACAUGAGAUAGUCUCCACUAUUUUUGCAUAUAUGUGAUUCAGAUUUACGGUCCAAAAUAUUUAUGUAAACCUAUAAGCAAUGACAUCCUAUAAUUGCAAGCUCAUCAUGCUAGUGUACAUGGUUUUCCGAGAAUGUUAGCAAGUUUAGAUUGUCUUCAUUAGGCAUGGGUAAACUGUUGGAUUAGUGUCUAAGUCCAUAACUAUUUUGAUAUGUACUUGACCCGAUGGUGCAUGGUCCUUUUGGGUUGCCUUCAUCUAAGCAACUUGAUAGGAUGAAUUAUGGAGAGAGAGGAUUAACUAUGAUUUAUUAAUAUAUUAUGAGAAUAAUAUAUUAAAGGAGAAAUCAUAUUGUUUAAUUAAUAUUAGUCAAUAAUUAAUUAAGAAUUAAAUUUUGUGGCUAAAAGAGAUUAAUUAAACUUAGGGGGCUGGAAUAGUAAUUAUAAGAUAAUUGUAAUUGGGCUAUGGAUCACCUUGGAAUAUAGGUUGGAUGAAAUCUAUGGGAAGCCCAUAUGAUUUUCGUCCAAGGCACGUGCAGAAGGGGUCCAUGGGCUGCUUAGGGCUUAAGCAGUCAAAUUAGGGUUUCCUUGUUAGAUAACCCUAAUUGCCUACCUAUUUAAAGAACCCUUGAGACCCAAAAACGUGGCCAACAUAUUCUUUAGGGUUUCCAUCCGUUUUUGGGUGUCUCUUCUCUUCUCAUUCUUCAUCCUCUUGCUCUUGGUGUUUGUGAGCCAUUAGAGGAGUGACACUUGUGACUCUAAGCUUUUUGAAGCCAUUACAAGGAGGAUUUGAGAUUGUUAUUGCUACAUAACAAUCAAGGUAAGAUCUAAACCCUGUUUACAUAUAUGAUUUCGAUUAUAGUAUGCUAGAUCUAGGGUUUAAAGUCUUGGAUGAAUGCAUGUACAAUAGAGAAACCUAGAUCCAAGCAUUAGGGUUUACAUGAGCACAUAGGAUGUUCUUAUGGCUAAAACCCAUCAAAAACUUCCCUAUGUUACACCAUGGGGAAUUUACGUGAGGUGAUCAUUGUUAGGUGCAAUUCGUGCACCUUUUUGCACACCUUUUAGUCCCAUUUCAUGCAUCUAUUUAAUAUAAUUGUUCAUUCUUUUUCUUGCAUUUCAUCAUAUUCAUGUUAGUCUCUAGAACAACCUUAUUUGCAUACUUUUAUGUCUUUUUCAGGUAAAUCGGAGGUUGGAACGCGCUUUGGGAAGUGUCGGGAAGCAUUGGUGAAGAUUUCGGGAUGAUCGGGCGAAGAACGAAAAAGUUGGAAAAAUCAAGUUUGGAAUUGGAGUCAGAAAGGUACACAGGGCGUGUUGAAUUUACACUGAAAAGUGGGCAUGGGGCGUGUUUGACCAAGAAGAAGCUGUUGACCAUGCUGAACACGGGUUGUGUCAGUUUAGUGCAAAUCAACACGGGCCAUGUUGGCUGCUGAACACGACCCGUGUCAGUUUAGCCUAUUUUAACACGGGUCGUGUUCGACCCAAAAACCAACUUUUGGCAGUUUUUCCUAUCUUUCAUAUUACGGGUUGAGGGCCAUUUUUACACACACACAACAUAUCAGAGCACCAUUGGAGAGGAGAAUUCGAAGGUUUUUGCAAGGGUUUGUCCGUUAAUCAUUUGGAAACAUUAAUUCUCGUUUUUGUAAGUUGUAAUUACACUUAAUUUCAUCUUUUAGACUUGUGAUCUUGUUCUAGCCAUGUGUGGCUAGAACCCUAACUUCUCCAAUUUCAUGUUUUGACUUUUUGGUUGUGAAUCAAAUCAUAUGACCUGAUGUUUGUGUUUAAUUUCUAUCUAGUGAAACUGAUUUUACUUCAAUCGAAUGUUUGAUUCUAAUAAUGAUUCUUAUUGGCCAUUUGAAUUAGGGUUAGGUCAUUCAAGUUAUUCAUUUUGCAAAAUCCGUAAUUGUUUUGUGAAUUGAACUAAGUAACAAGCAUUAAAUUGAUUUCUUAUGAAUGAAUUUAGUGUAAAUCUUUUCACACAUUCUUACGCUCCCAAGCUUAUGAGGAGUAUUGGGUGUUGUUGGGAACAUUCACAAUAAGCUUAAUGCAAUCUUUUAAUCUACUUCUAAGAGUUUGUUUAGAUUAGGUUAGUAAGGUUAGGAUUAAUCAAAGAGCUUGUUUUGAUUGAUUAAUGUGGUGAAUGGAAAGUGUUAGAGCUUGUUAACACUUUCAAGUACCAACGUAGAUAGAAUGAAACAAAUGUCUUGUCAUCUUUGAUUCACAUUGUUGGAUUGUCAUACAUGGAGUUGGGGUCCUUACAAAAUCUGAACUUAAUUCAUUCGUUUAGUUGUCUACUCGUGUUUUAAAUUUGUUUGUUUAGUAAUUGCAUUCUAAACCCCCUUAUUACUGUCGGUGACCAUAGUACCUUGCGCAAAGAGGUAUAGACUAAUUAUCCUGUGUCUCUGUGGAUCGACCAUGCUUGCCUUAUACUACCUUUUAGUGCAAUACAGUGUGAUUCUUUUGGAGUAUAUCAUACCCCAUUAUUUGUUGGGUCUGACACGCCUAACAAUCAUGGUCACCCAACAGUCAUACUUGAAGUGAUGGUGUUGCAGGAUCUGUGGAUUUGGCAUGAUUUUUUUGGUUCUCCUGGUUCGAUUAACGACAUCAAUGUUCUUAAUCGUUCACCGAUAUUCAAUAACUUAUAUGACAUUUCGACACCUGAUUCUUUUUUUCAAGUGCAUGGAACGCCAUAUAAGUAUGGUUAUUAUCUUGUUGAUGUGGUCUAUCUUGAAUAUGUUGUUUUUGUUAAAUCAUUUACAUAUCCAAAUGAUUCUAGAAGGAAAAAAUUCAAGAGGGCUCAAGAGAGAGCUAGGAAGGAUGUUGAGAGAGCCUUUGGAGUGCUUAAGAAAUGUUGGUACAUACUAAAAAACCAACACUUUUUAUGGAGGAGGCAAAACUUCAUGAGGUCAUGUAUGCAUGUAUCAUAUUACAUAUAUGAUUAUUGAAGAUGAAGGAAGAGCAAUAUGUACGUAUGACACAUAUGAAACCAUCCCCGAGACACUACCAUUAGAGAUUGGUGGCGAUAAAUACAUGGAUAGGAAAGCAGAGAUACAUAACAAUGAAACAUUUCACAAUCUUCGCAUGAACUUGGUGGAACACCUUUAUGGGAUUCAAAACAUUGAUCUCAAUUUGGAUCCACCAAAAGACAAUGAAGACGAAUUCUGAGAUGAAGACUUUAUGUAGUAUGUUUUAGUUAUUUUAUUUGUGAACUUUUUUGUUUCAAUUAUUUGUGGUUUUCAUUGUUUAUUUUUUAUUUUAUUUUUAAUUCUACUAUGUAUUUUUUUAUUUGAAUUAAUAAAAUUUGAAUUUUUAUUUAUAUUGUUAUUAUUAUUAUUAUUAUUAUUAUUAUUAUUAUUAUUUUGAAAAAAAAGUGUGCCACCACGGCUAGUGUGUGGCGUGACAAAGAAGCACAUUUUUGUGGUAAAAAAUGACAUGGUGGUUAUGUGAUAGUGAAAGAGUGUGAUAAGAAUAACACCAUACCCUCCAGCCUUAGGGUAGGAAUCAAAUCGCUUUUGAAGUUGCAGCACAUAGCAGGUCCAAAUGAGAGGAAACAGAUGGUGCACGCCACUCCGAUGUAAAAGAGAAGGAGACAAACAAAAUCUCUGGAAAUGUCUAAUUGACCCUAGACUUAUAUAUUUCAUUUAUAUUAAUUAAAUUCGUUUUAUUAUUUUCUUUCUUUUUAAUAAAUGUCAAAAUUGAUAUAAAUCAUUCUUUUAUCAUUUAUCUUUUAUUUUUAUCCUUUAUAAUUAUUAAUUCACCUAAAAUAAUAUUUUUAAUAUUUAUUUACACUUUUAUUUAUUUAUUUAUCUCACUUAUCUUUUCUAAAUGUAUAAUUAUCGUUUUUUAUUUGCUAAACCCUUUAGAAAAAUAAUAAAAUGAAAAACAAGGCGUAACAUUCUUCCGUUUAGUCAUUUCAGGAAUGGAGUUUAAAUGAUUUUAUUGUAAGUUUUAGUUUUCUAAAAUUUUGUAAUGCCUACAACCUUUCGCUCCUUCUAUAUAAAUAUUUUGUAAGGCUUUCACUAACAUCUUGGAAUCAAUAAUUCUUAUCCCUUUUCAAUAUAUAUAUUUUUUCAUUCUAUGUAAAUUGUAGAAGUUUUUACUAUGAGGCUAAUGAUAGCUUGUUUUUUCUUUCUACAUAGACGGUUCAACCGUAUAUGAUUUGCCAUCCAUAAAUCUAAGGUUACCGAUAAUUUUUGGACGAAAUUAAGAGGUAAUCAUGCCAAGAUCCCCAUAAUAUUUUGUGCUUCUGUUUUUUGCCCUUUGAAUUAAUACUGUAUUUUAGGGGUAUAAAAAUAUAAGUAUAGAUUAUUUGUCAAUUGACAAAAGGGAUUAAAUAAAAUUAUGAGAAAUACUAUAAUUUUUUUUGGAGGUGAAAAUGUAAGAUAUAGAAGUGUGGUGUCUAAUGUUGAAACUCCAAUAUCUAAGGGAAUAUAUAAAAGGGAUAAUGACUUAAAAUGGUAAUAUAUUUUUUGAUUUGUAUACAUUUGGUCACUAAGUUUUCUUUUCACCCAUAUUUACCCCUUCAACUUGUUAAACUGUACACAUUCAAUCCUUAUGACUUGUUACUUCAGGUGAGUCGGGAAAAUGACUUAAUAGGGUAAUAUAUUUUUCAUUUUGUACACAUUGGUCCUUAAUAUUUUUGUACAUAUUUAAUCCUUAAUAUUUUUUUGUUUCAAAAUAAGUCAUUUUUGUUUUUCUACUCAUUCAGUACUUAUGAAUAAUUUCUUUAGAUUUUUCUCACGACAUCUUAUACGAGACAAUCAUUGAUGAAGUGUGUGAGGUUGUUGAUGUUUAUGGGUAACAUCUUAUUUUUACAACAAAAAAUUUUCAUUUUUAAAUAAGGCAAAACUCUAAUUAUAAAUCCAUUAUUAAGAAAAAAUGCUUAUUCCAAAAUACAUUUAUCGAAAAUCAGAGUAAUAUAAGAAACAUGGAAUCUUCAAUACUAUUGAUGAGUGUGUACAGUCAUGCCUUCGCUGUAGCACCUGGUUCCUGGUAUGUAUUCUUGGUUAUUAACUCCCCUUAUAUAUUGCAUUUUAACCUUGGACUCGGCGAGUUGAAGGACUAACUCGCCGAGUAGAAGCGGGACUAGACGUGGGAUCUACUCUGUCUACUCGGCGAGUAGGCUCGUGGGACUCGGCGAGUAGACCCUGUCUGGACUAAAACCCUAACCCGGGUGUUUGCACCCUAUUUAAAUGAUCUAACCCAGCCUCCAUUUCCCUUAGCACACCCAGAGAUCUGUAGAACGAAACCCUAGCCCCCUUUGUGUCCUUGUGGGUGAUUUUUAGCUUUGUGAAGGUGGUUUGCAGCUUGGGAGAAGAAGGAGAAGGUUGAAGAGUGCAAGAAGGGAAGAAGAUCUGGAAUCUACUCUGUGAAGGGCUUCUAUUCAGGUAGAAAAGUUCCUACCUUGAUCUUUAGUUCAUUAAAUCCCCUUUUUGUCCCUAAAAAGUGGUUUUAAACCUUAAGAACCUAAAUCUCUACGUGUUUAUGGUUAAUGUUCUGCAAGGACUUCGGAUUUGGAUCUUUUGGACAUCCUAGUAGCAUUAAGUCUCUGUGGUUGAGGUGAUUGAGGUCCCUAUUGAGUGUAGGACCUCUUAAAGAGCUUGGAAUUGCAUGUUUGAGCUCAUAGGGCCAUGCAUGCACGUAAAAUUUGCAACUUUACGUGGGAAACAUGCCCUAGGACCAUAGAUCAGUGGUUUUGAAGCGUUGCAUGUCUCAGAUAUGGCCUACUCGGGAAAUGGGUCGAGGGACUCGGCGAGUCUCAAAGGGGAACUCGGCGAGUUCUAUGAAGAUGGUCCUAGACUCGGCGAGUUGGAUGAACAACUCGGCGAGUCCUAUGAAGAUUGCCUAGAGCUCGUCGAGUUGUUCUUCAAACUCGGCGAGUCAUAUGAACUUUCACAGAGCAAGAGGGGUUUAAGCGUUGAAGGUUCAACCCUUCGUACCUGCACGCGGAAUUAACCGUGUAACGUAGUCCCAAAACCCCAAACCCUCGUAUGGGGUGUUCUGGUGUGGAUUAGAAGCGAGUAGGGGAUCCGCUCGAGGAACUCGGCGAGUUGCUCGCGGACUCGGCGAGUCGGGACUCGAGUUGGCCCCAUAGUCCCGAGUGGUGAGUCAAGGGUGACUCAGUGAGUGGGGAGAGGGACUUGGCGAGUGGGACUGGAUUAGUAAGGGAAGGACUCGGCAAGUUGCUCGCGGACUCGGCGAGUCCAGUCAACUGGAAGUUGACUUUGACUUGGAUUUCGACUUGGUCAAGGGUAAAAGGGUCAUUUUACCCUAAGUACAUCUAGCAGUGUUUGACUGAUCGUUUUGUGGGAAUUAUAGCCGGAGGACGUCCGGAGCAGCAGCAGCAGCAGUAGACAGUCAGUUCCCGAUCAGAUCAGCNUUCCCUUCCAGUAGCGGCGGGUCUACGGCCACAAUGUCAGCCCACCAGUAGGGGUUGUACGUUAGAUGAAUGUCUUCGUGAUAUCAUCUAGGUUUGCUACUACAUGAUAUGUUAUAUGCGAGCAUGAUAUGCUAUAUGUGUUAGAAGUAGAGUUCGGUUGUUAUGACCGAAGGGUAGUUCAGACACCCCAGAUAUGUCUGAUAAUUUGUUAUGUUAUGAUAUAUGCGUAAGUAGCAGUAGGGGGUGAAAUAGUCCCCGAGGAUCGGUUGUCAGGACCGAAGGGUAGUCAGCACCCCAGAAUAGCUUGACACGGGUAGACGGCACCCCAGAAUGGCCGCACAGGUAGUCGACACCCCAGAAUGGCCGUACCGGGUAGUCAGGCACCCCAGAAUAGUCUGGCAGUAUGUAUGUUAUGUGUUUGUAUGGUAUAUGGUACGAUGGGGGAACUCACUAAGCUUUGUGCUUACGUUUUUCAGUUGUUGUUUCAGGUACCUCUUCAGCUAGGGGAAAGGAGCCGGCACGGUAGCGGCAUAUCACACACACUCUUGUUUUCCGCACUAUGGAUUUCUGGGAUGUACUCUGAAUUAUUACUAUGAUAUUACAGGUUUGUAGACAUGGAUUAUUGUUAUGAAUGUUUUGUAAUGAUGUUUCUAUGUAUUAACCUAAAUUAAAAAUGAAAUUUUUAACCGGUACUUUUGGGACGUUACAUUCGCUUUCCCAUGAUCGACGAUAGAACCUAAAAACAUAAACAACUAGGUAAACACAAAGUUUAGUGAGUUUCUCCCAAAAUACCCGAUACAAGAAACGUAUUAUCAUGCAUAACGGGCCCACACUCAUCAGAUUGGAAUACUUUGGACCAAUCAGUCAUCCGACUAGAAUGUCAACACGCAACAGGUCCAAUCAAUCAUCAGAUUGGAAUACCCAUGGUUUGUCGGCAUGCCGCCUUAACCCAACCGCUCUUCUCGAGCCUCCGUGUCUACGGCUUACAGCCGGCCUGCAUCGGGUUUCUUAGCCUAAAACAUAUAACAGGACCGUUUCAACCUAUCCCGCCACCAUAUGGCUAUCCCACGUAAUACGUUGUGAAAAAAAACCUAAAUAAAUCAUUUAUAUGUACCGAAUGAAUACAAAAACAAAAAUAAUUUAUUUUGCAACAAAAAAAAUAUUAAGGACUAAAUGUGUACAAAAUAAGAAAUAUAUUAUCCUAUUAAGUCAUUUUUACCGGCUAACUUAGAGUAGCCGACUAACUUGGAGCAGCGAUCAUAAGGACUAAAUGUGUACUGUUUAAUAAGUUGUUCAGAUCAAAAAAUAUAUUACGUAUCUCUGAAAGGAUUUAUACUUACUUCCUCAUUAUCUUCGCUCCCUGGUUAACAUUUAAAGAGAAGGAGGAAACUAUCCAUGAACUCAAAUCGAUCCACGUUGAAAGAAGAAAUUAAGGAAGUAAUUGAAGUAUAAUCUUGCAAAAUAAGUUAAUUGCAAAGUGAACUCUGCUUAAUUUCGGUGCUGUUGGAAAUUUGAGGUAUGUUCCUCAAACUGAUAAAUUGAUAAAGUAUAAGUUAUCAAUAAAGAAAUUGAAAUGUUAAUGAAGAUUUAUACCAGUUAUUGAGUAAAUCUUAUCAAUAAUCUAAGAGAAAUGUCGAUCUGGAAUUUCAGAAACGUAUGUUGACCUAAUUUAAUCAAAGUUGUGAAGUUUUUGAAUAAGUAUAGUUAAAUUGAGUAAGUUAAUAACUUUUUGAAGUUAAUAUGCUGUUGUGUAUGUUAUAAACGAAUGUAAUUAGGGGUAAAUGAGUGUAAUGAUGUGUAUUGUAUUGUGGAUACAAAAAGCAAACCGAACAGGUGGAUGGGGACUUUAAUUUAAACGAUGCUUUGAGAGGGGAUUGAUCCCCAGUGUGCGCUGCUGUGUUUAUUGAGUAGUUGACACUAUUUUGAAUUAAUAUAUUGCUACGUUAUGAUAUGUGUAUAAUGAGUUAAGUAUGAUUAAUUGGGCUUGAGAUUAGAAUGAAUUAAUGAUUGUUUGUCACCAUUGUUUGACAACAAAGUAUGAUGAACCUAGUAAUUGAGAAUGGUGGUAAAGAGUCUGAGAGAAAGUUAAAGUCGCAUAUCAUAUUAUAAGGGAAUGAUAGGGGGCUUUGGGAUCACGGGAUUGUUUUUAUACAUAAUAUAAUUGUAAAGUUGUAAAAUAUAACAGGUAAAUAUCUUCUUUACAUCAAUGGCAUCUUCAUCAUCAUCAUCAUCAUCUCAGCCAUGGGAGUACCAUGUUUUCCUUAGUUUUAGAGGAGAAGAUACUCGUCAGAAUCUUGUGGGCCAUCUCUACAAAGCUCUUGUAGAAAAAGGGGUCUACACUUACAAGGAUGAUGAAACACUUCCUCGGGGGGAAUCAAUCAGUCCAGCCCUUAUGAAGGCUAUUGAAGGAUCACAACUUGCUGUCAUCGUAUUCUCUGAAAAUUAUGCAGAUUCAUCGUGGUGUUUAGAGGAACUUUCACAUAUUAUGGAAUGCAAGGAAACGAGAGGCCAAAUCGUUAUGCCUAUAUUUUAUGACGUGGAUCCGUCUUAUGUGCGAAAUCAAAAAGAAAAAUAUGGAGAAGCAUUUGCCAAACACGAGCUCAAGAACACUGACAAAAUCAAAUCUUUGGUUCAGGCAUUUAUAAUUGACCCUUGUGGGUGGUUCUUUGCACCGUUUGAACGAAAAAGGGAAUACGAUGAAGAAUAUACCAAACAGCACUCAGAGAUUAAGACAAAGGUUGAAUCAUGGAGAAAAGCAAUCGUGGAUGCAAGUAACAUAUCUGGAUGGUUUAUUGCCAACAGGUAAAUAUCUUUAUUUUACUAUUUUUUUUUAAAUGUUCUUUGGAAAUAAGAAAGUAGGUGAAGACUUGUAUUGGAUUGAGCAUUUUAAAGAUUAUUAGAGCAUUCCUUUUAUUAUUGAAGUUGUGAUGAUUAUGAUUUACAUUUACAUGUACAAUAUAUUUGUAGUUAUUUUCAUAACAGUUAUCUUACAAAUAUAUUAUUUGCUAAAAGAAAAUAUGGUGUUACUAUCCAUGCUGCAGAUAACAUCACCACUAACAAAUCAAGUUAUAUAAUUUAUUGAAUUUUAUUCAAAUUCUUUUGAUUUGUGUAUAAACUUAAAAUUUGCUUCUCGUAUAGUAUCUUGUACUCUUUUUAUCUUGUUUUUCCUUAUUUUCUUUCCUUCAAUAUAACUCUCAAAAUUUUAUAUGGAUUUUUUGUUUUAAAUGUAUUAGUUAUCUUUUGCAUAUACGACAUAAGUUUUAAUUUAUAUUUUUUGAUAAAAAUUCAUCCAUCUGAAAAGAAUUUCCCACAUGCAUAGGGGAUAUAAUUAAGUACUCCUUCUGUCCCAAAAUAAUUGUCCACAGACAAAAAACACACAAAUUAAGGAAACAUUAAUUAUCAUUAACUUUAUUAAAUGAAAUGACAUUGUUACCCUUUUGUUGAAUAUAAUUCAAUGGUAGUUGCAUUUAAUUCAUGGUAAUUUAAUUGAUAAUGAGGGGUAUUAUGGUAAAAGACAUUUAUUUUUAGAAGUAGGCUAUUAUUUUGGGACAAACCAAAAAGGAAACAUGGACUGUUAAUAUGAGACGGAGGGAGUACCAUAUAUAAAAGAUUGUGAGAUGUUUUCACGGCUUCACUGAAUAUAAAUUCUUGUGCUAUCGGCUCUCAUUAGCAUAUAUGUCAAAGAUAAUAAUUAGUGGAUUGUUGCCUUUGCCAAAUUAAAGAUAUCCUAAGUCAUAGGAUUAUAUAUAAAGCUCAAACUAAGUUUUAUGAUGGACUUCACUCAAUUGUAAUAUUAAGUUAAUACUUAUCAUCUCACUGACACUUCUAACGACAAGCCCACUAUAUCUCUUUUGCAUUUUCCUGUGCAUGGAUCUAUUUGGUCUUUCUCAUGAAACUUGUUAGGAAUACUUAUGAUACUGACUUUACAAGUUCUAUUGAAAUUUGAAAUGUGAUUAAGAAAUACUUAGGACUCCUUAAUUUCCCUUAUUUCAUGGAACAUGGAAGAUUGGACAAGACCACAUUUUGUCUGUGUCAAGGCGUGUUACUUAUCCUUCUAUAUCCACUAUGUGCAGGGAUGAGUCGAAGGCCAUUGAAGAAAUUGUUGAGACAAUUUCACAAAGGUUGCAUCCAACAUCAGUUGAGGAUGACAACCUGAUUGGAAUGAAGGCUCGCAUGCAAGAUUUGAUAUCAAAGUUGCAGAUAGAGUUUGGUGGUAAAAGGAUGAUUGGAAUAUGGGGAGUUGGGGGCGGUGGCAAGACUACUCUUGCCUCUUCUAUUUUUGAUGAAAUCUCUAGCAAGUUUGAUGGUUGCUGCUUUCUAAAAAAUGUCAGGGGUGAAUCAAGUAAAAAUAACGGUUUGGAAAACUUGCAACAAAAAAUUCUUUCAGACGUUUUGAAACAGAAGCAAGUGGAGGUACGAAGAGUUGAAGAAGGAAGGCGCAUGAUAAAGGAUAGGUUACAACAUCGAAAGGUGUUGAUUGUUCUUGAUGAUGUCGACAACCUUGAACACCUAGAAGAUUUAGCUGGAUCACGUGAUUGGUUCGGUGAAGGAAGCCGGAUAUUAAUCACAACAAGAGAUGAGCAUGUAUUAACCGGAC